rnacentral:rRNA from 1 species
CCUACGGGAGGCAGCAGUGGGGAAUAUUGCACAAUGGGGGAAACCCUGAUGCAGCGACGCCGCGUGAGUGAAGAAGUAUUUCGGUACGUAAAGCUCUAUCAGCAGGGAAGAAAAUGACGGUACCUGACUAAGAAGCCCCGGCUAACUACGUGCCAGCAGCCGCGGUAAUACGUAGGGGGCAAGCGUUAGCCGGAUUUACUGGGGGUAAAGGGAGCGUAGACGGCAGCGCAAGUCUGGAGUGAAAUCCCAUGGCUUAACCAUGGAACUGCUUUGGAAACUGUGCAGCUAGAGUGCAGGAGAGGUAAGCGGAAUUCCUAGUGUAGCGGUGAAAUGCGUAGAUAUUAGGAGGAACACCAGUGGCGAAGGCGGCUUACUGGACUGUAACUGACGUUGAGGCUCGAAAGCGUGGGGAGCAAACAGGAUUAGAUACCCUUGUAGUC